UACGGAGGAGUCAAGCGGUAUCCGGAAUUAUUGGGCGUAAAGCGUCCGUAGGUGGUUGACCAAGUCUGAUGCCAAAGGGUGGGGCUUAACCUCAUAAUGGCAGUGGAAACUGGUGAGCUAGAGCGCGGUAUGGGUAAGGGGAAUUCCCAGUGUAGCGGUGAAAUGCGUAGAGAUUGGGAAGAACAUCGGUGGCGAAAGCGCCUUGCUGGGCCUGCACUGACACUGAGGGACGAAAGCUAGGGGAGCGAAAGGG
rnacentral:rRNA from 1 species